rnacentral:tRNA from 1 species
GACUGAUUAGCUCAGUCAGCUGAGCAUAGUGCUAACAACGCUAAGGUCACGGGUUCGAUUCCCGUUUGGUCC